rnacentral:misc_RNA from 1 species
UACGGAGGCGGCAAGCGUUAACCGGAAUUAUUGGGCGUAAAGCGCGCGCAGGCGGCCUGGUAAGUCGGAUGUGAAAUCCCCCGGCUCAACCGGGGAGGGCCAUUGGAAACUGGGAGGCUUGAGUAUAGGAGAGAAGAGUGGAAUUCCACGUGUAGCGGUGAAAUGCGUAGAGAUGGGGAGGAACACCAGUGGCGAAGGCGACUCUUUGGCCUAUAACUGACGCUGAGGCGCGAAAGCGUGGGGAGCAAACAGG